UAAUUAAAUCAAUUAAACCUUAGUAUAAUCAUCGGAGAAUGGCCGGUGAGACCUACCCACACCUAAGCUGUGGACUACUAAGGAAUGUAUUUAACGU
rnacentral:ncRNA from 1 species